UUUUGUUUCAUUUUCAAAUAUCAUCAAGAAUUUUAGUUAGCAAACAAUGAAUUGAAAGUCAGAGUUCUAUUUUUUUUCUUUUAUCUUAGCAUAUGGGGAUGCACAAGGCUUUUUUUUUUUUUUUGAAUCUGACUUUUCAUCUCUGACAGAUGACAGGUCACAUCUUACUCAGCAGUGAUUUCAGUAAUUAAUCAUAUUAGUCCCUUAAAUAGUUGCACAAAAAUAAUAAUUUGAACACAUAUUCUGCCGGCAGGUACUGUGAAACUCUGCCUUUGGCCAUGGAUAUUUAUUUUCAGUUGUAUAACAAAACAGCUAUGUUUAUGCACUUGAGGCCCUCACAACAUUGGGUCGCCUGCAAUCCCCUCCUGCAUUGAACUCUGGAAUAGUUUACAUGGACUCUGAGGGCCAAUCAUCCUGAGGAUAUACAAGUAGUACCAGGUAACAGUUUUGUGUAAGGCCAGACACUUCUUCUAUAGUAUAGCUAUUUAUGGCUUGUUCAUACUCUAGGAUAUAACCUCACACUGGGUGAAUGUUUUGAAUACCAACUAAAUGCAUGAAGUCACCAAGCCAGAUUAGUGUAGAAUCCUUUAUGUCUUCUACCUUGGCCCCCUUCCUCAGGAGUAAUUAGAGACAGACGCCUAGGAAAUCCUCCUACAAUGCAAAACCACAUUAAGAUGGAGAAAUUUCAAUUUCAAGCCAACAUAAGCCACAUAAGAGUUCCAGGCUGGUCAGAGCUACGUGGUUUAAAACAAUCCACUUUAUUUUCAUUACCUGCUGCUGAUAACAAAUAUAGAGAUCCCCCAGUGAUUUUGUUUGAAGAGGUACAGAAAACAUUACAACAAGAUUAAAUAUAUUACAGUGAACUAUGUGCAGCACUAUAAGAAAAUAUCAAAAUACAUUCCAUAGAUGUGUUAAAUUUAAAAAUGAUAAAUAAAAGCAUUAAAACAAAAGGUAAGGGGGAGGAAUUUAUCAAGAGAAUUUUAAGAGCUUUUGUAGUAAUCUGAUGUCCACUCAUGAAUAGAACAGAAUUGGGAAGGCUGGUUUACUUCACUGGUAGUUUUUGUUACUGGUAUUAUGUGCUCUGGUGUAUCAGUCCUUGGGGAAAGUUUUAGUUCAAGUAAAUGUGUGUAGAGCCCAUUAGAGCAAACUUUGUAGGAAUCCUAGCAAAGGUGAAUAGGUGAAACUUCUAUCCUUAGCCUCCUGCCUUGAAUAACUCUGAGUGUAUCAACAUUGGUUCUCUUUUGAAAUGGACAAUGUUCUUAUUCUUGAUGAAAAAAUAAAAUACUGGUGUGUGUGUGUGUGUGUGUUUGUGUGUGUGUGUGUGUGUGUGUGUGUGUGUGUGUGUGUGUGUUUGUGUGUGUGUCCCAUAAAAGAUGCAUUGGUUUCCUAAGAUGAAUGUUUCCGUGUUCCGCAUGAUCACUAUUCUAGCAUAUUUGGUUGUCAAAGAGCUCCUUCCCCUGGUAUCACUUCCUCUGCUAUCAGUGUUCAGCACUGGCCCUGCUCAUUAUCUUGUUCUAAUGUCAGAGGCAGAUAACAAUCUUUCCCAAACAGCAGACAGACUUAUAGUGGCAGAAUUAAUUAAAAUUGAUUCACACAUUGUGUCAUGUAAAGGUCUUCUGAGAGCUUUCUUUGCUACAUCCCUCUCGGUUUCCUGGUGUUGUACUACAUGACCCAGGUGGGAAUCACUGCGUGCGAAUACUAAUUAGAAACCUGAAUAGAACUGUGUACACUGAGUGGCAGUGGAAUGCAUGAAGGGAAUUUAGAACUUACUUCAUUUAAGGAUUUCAUAAGGGAUUAAUUCUUUAUUCCGACUUCUUAAGAUUUUAUUCAGAGGAGGACA
rnacentral:lncRNA from 1 species